UCCCUUUUGGGGUCGCGGGGGGCGCUGGCGCCUAUCUCAGCUACAAUCGGGCGGAAGGCGGGGUACACUCUGGACAAGUCGCCACCUCAUCGCAGGGCCAACACAGAUAGACAGACAACAUUCACACUCACAUUCACACACUAGGGCCAAUUUAGUGUUGCCAAUCAACCUAUCCCCAGGUGCAUGUUUUUGGAAGUGGGAGGAAGCCGGAGUACCCGGAGGGAACCCACGCAUUCACGGGGAGAACAUGCAAACUCCACACAGAAAGAUCCCGAGCCUGGAUUUGAACCCAGGACUGCAGGACCUUCGUAUUGUGAGGCAGACGCACUAACCCCUCUGCCACCGUGAAGCCGUGUUGCCAAUCAAGCUGUCCCCAAUUAAAGUUUACUUACAUAUAUAGCACUUAAUCACAAAUGUCUCAAAAGGCUGCACAAGCCACAAUGACAUCCUCGGCUCAGAUCCCACAUCAGGGCAAGAAAAAUCUCAACCCAAUCGGAAACAUUAAUUUCCAUAUUAUGUUAUUGUAUUAAUUUGCGGUAAUAAACAAUUGUCAUAACCUUCUUCAUUAUCUCUAACGCUGACAACAUUGAAAUGAGUUUAUUUCAAACAUGCAUGCAUACAACAUGACACAUCACAAUUUCCAGUUUCUCUAUUCAACAUGUUCGAAAAGGAGUAGGAAGAAGCAGAGCAUAUUUAAUCCUAACCCUUUUCCUUUACAUAGCAGUUGCCAAAACUUCAGUUCACUUCCGGUUCUCAAUUUAUUCACAAUAUACUCCAUAAUUAAUAACAAUACAAAUAAAUAAAUAAUAAUUGGUGAAGUAAGUUAUAUUUUAUAUGGUGAGAUGAGUAAGAUUAUCUAGAAAAUGAAUGGAUGGAUGAGAUCAAUUCAGAAUGUUUAUCAUGGUUCUUCUUUGCACUAGCACAUUACACUACUACUAUGACACUACAUUAGCACUUGUGUCAUAGUUCUGGCCUUAAAAUUAUAUUUACAGGUAAAAUUCUCCCCAAAAUAGACACAGUAGUGAUUUUAGGCAUGUUUUAAUGAUUUUCAGCAUUAUCUAGAACAUCGACUUUUAGCUCCAAAAUGUGGGCGGCCCUGCAUCAGCCUGCUGAUGUCACUUACAGAAGACUGGAGGCAAUUUCAUAUUGUGGAGUAUGUGUUUUGGUAGCAUCUUCAUCCCCAAUCAUGUUCAUUUUACAAAGAAUUCGAAAGAUUGACCAAAAUGCCUGCCAUAUGCCUUGUUGUGAAGAGCAGGGAAGUCCGGAAAAGGCGACUUGUUUUAUAUUUAUUUUUCGCUUACAAUGUUAACAUAUCACUUUUGAAGUAAUCAUGGACUGAGGCAACAGAAACAUACAAUUAAGUGAUCAAAACAAUAGUUUUAUAUGACUCGAUGCACAUUGUCUCUGCGGGUGAAAUGGGCCCCAGUUCUUUAGGUCAGGGGUCCCUAACCUUUUUUCCACCACGGACCGGUUUAAUGUAGGCAUUUUUUUCAUGGACCGGCUUUACACAUGUGCCAGAUAAAUACAGCAAAAAUAAGUGCAUGAAAAAUAUAACUCACUAUAAUGCUGAAUUAGUGGGAGCUCUGAACUUCUUUCUUUGCAAUGAGAUCCCCAGCAGGUUGACGGUAGCCUGCUGGGGACUGUAUAUAGAAAUCAGCCUUUGGCUAUACUCUGUCACAUUUAUAUUUUAUAAGUUCAGUAAUGUGCUUUGUAUCAUGUCACAAAGUUAUAAUAAAUAUAACAAAUGGUAACUUUCUAUGAGGAGUUUUAUUGUACAUGUAUAAACAAGCUUAUUGGUGUGUCUAGUGCAGGGGUCGGCAACCCGCGACUCCUGAGCCGCAUGUGGCUCGUUGAUCACUCUGAUGCGGCUCAGUUUGUCGCGGCCUCAUCCUUGCGUUCUGCUUGUCAAACCUCGGGACACGCCGCUCGCCAAAGACAUGUGGGUGUCCAAGUUAAAGCGCCUGACAGCGGACCUUAAAGAUGUUUCACGCCAGAAGGUUGUUCUUGCUCACAAUCACAAAUGGGGUGAUAUUGAAAACCUCCCCAAACCAGACAAACUUGUGUUCGAAACUUGGAACCCCGGCCAUCCCCGAUUUUUAUGUGAACAUGAAAAAGUAUGCAGUUGGAGUCUUGUCGAUCUUUGGAUCCACAUAUGUAUGUGAGUGUAGUAGUUAUAAAAUUGCUGUAAAUGUGAACAUGCAGACAGUAAAUAGGAAGGAAGAAAAACAAAGCUUUAAUUCAUUAUAGAAAAACAAAGGUUUAAUUAAUGAUAGUGUCUGGUAAAAGUAAGAGAAAAAAAGGAGAAAAAACAUCAUAACUAAUUACUUUACAAAGUUGAAAAAAAGGGUAUGAAGACAAAAAGCUGUGAUAAGGUGAUCUGCCAUCUAUUACUUUUGACUGGUGCAGAGGAGUCCAAAAAGAGAAAUGAAAAAAUAGUAAUCUGUGUUAAAACCAUUCUAAUGUUUGUUUGGAAAAUACUUCCUGGAUUUAUGUUGUUUUUCUAUAACACCUGCGUUUUAAAAAUGUCUAGUUGUUGUUUUAGUCACUGAUCGGGUUCCGACUACUUUUGCCUGAUUUACCUGGUAGAGGGAGACACGUUCUUUCAUUCGGCCAUUACAGACUGGACCUGAAUGAAUAAGCAUCGUGUCCGUGUUUCUGUUCAAUAUCUCACUCCUCUACAGGUAAAGAAAUGUGGUUAUUCAACACUUUACAAUGUAUUUUUGCUCUCUGUCUGUAAGGUACUUACUUACCUACAUGUUUUAAACCGGCCUGCGUGUGAAUGACUGUGUGUAUGUGUGUGUGCGUGCAUGUGCGCGUGUGUGUUGAGAUUAGUUUGAUGCAGAGAUGUAUUUUUUUUAUGUUGCGUAGUCGUUUUUCAUGAGAGUAUAUUUUGAGAUGAAAGAUUUUGCUCUGCUAUUGUUAUUUUGUAGAGGAAAAUGUUAAAAAAAAAGGUCAAUGCUUUACCAGUUAUAUUUGGUGAUGAUGAUUAUGCAUUUCUAUUUGUGUUUUCACUAAAAGAGUGUCAGUUCUGAUCUGAUUAGCUAGAGAUACAAAUAUUAUAAAAAUAUUACAUAUUUUUACAGAUUAAAGUUCCAGCACAAUGCUUUAUUUUUCUACUUCUUUCAUGUUUUGAAUAGAGAAAUGUAAAAGUUUAAAAAAGGUGCAAUGUGUAAAAAGUAUUGUUUAAAAGUGUAUGUUUUUGGAAAAAUUGCCAUUACAGACUGGACCCGAAUGAAUAAGCAUCGUGUCCGUGUUUCUGUUCAAUAUCCCACUCCUCUACAGGGGUGUAACAUGAGCAGGUGUUCGCCAACAUGAACCUCAUUAAAAACAAACAUCGCACACGCCUCACAGAUGAGAGCUUACAAUCUUGUGUGAAGAUAAAGGUGACGUCAUACAGCCCUGAUGUGGAGACGCUGUGCGCUGCGGUUCAGGGGCAGAAAUCACAUUGACUAAGUUGACAGCUGACUGCAUGGCGCCAGUAAAAGGAUGACGGCACAGAGAGAGAGAACGGCAUUUUUGGUUCUCUGCCAGUGGAUAAUUUAAGUUCGGCGUUUUGUUUUUUCAUUACUACAGGGAGGACUUAGACAUUAAGUAUUUGUCAUGACGCGGAGUCGAACCCGCAUUUCCUCGGUGGCUGGAGCUGCGGGCGCUAAGACGUGCCUCUGCCGACAGCGUGCUCAGACACGAUCCCACUCGUGCUGAGCGCAGCACGCUCAUGUAGCAACGGGCCUGCACACAAUCAGUAAUCAACACACCUGGUCUUGAUGAAAGGGAACGGCAUAAAGAACAGCAGACGCGAGGAACCUUUGCCAGAACGUCGCUAACUCUUCAUGACUCCCCUGCCUUCCGUAAUCGAGCCUUGUCAUUUGACAUCUAUCCAGAUUCCUGACUGCCGUCCUCGAUCCACGACCUCCCUGCUCAGACCCGGACCCCACUGCCUUGCUCCUGUCCACGAACUGCCUCUUCGCCUUGCCCCUCGUGAUUCCACGAAAGAUUACAACCAACACUCACAGACAACAACCCUUGGUAACAUUUACAUUAUUAAUAUUACACAUAGUCACAUUCAUUCACUUGGAGUAGCAUACACACGCCACGUAUUCUUAAAAGUUUAAAAUAAACCUUGGAAAUCGU